AGGGUUUGAUUCUGGCUCAGGAUGAACGCUAGCUACAGGCUUAACACAUGCAAGUCGAGGGGCAUCGGGGGAGAGCUUCGGCUUUCCCGCCGGCGACCGGCGCACGGGUGAGUAACGCGUAUCCAACCUGCCCAUGGCUGGGGGAUAACCUUGCGAAAGCAAGCCUAAUACCCCAUGGCCUCAUCCCGGGGCAUCCCGGUUUGAGUAAAGGAUUCCCGGCCAUGGAUGGGGAUGCGUCCGAUUAGCUUGCCGGUGGGGUGACGGCCCACCGGGGCGACGAUCGGUAGGGGUUCUGAGAGGAAGGUCCCCCACACUGGAACUGAGACACGGUCCAG
rnacentral:rRNA from 1 species